UUAAAAAUAUUGAUGCAAUAAUGAAGUGUGCGUAUGUGCGGGGCUUUUCCAGAGUGUGCGCAUAUGCGGGGUAUUUCGGGCAGGAAAGGCCUGCGGAAUCAGCCAU